AGAUAACGACAGGGGUGCCCGCUCACAAGGCGGGCUGAGAAAUACCCUUUAAACCUGAACCGGAUAAUGCCGGCGGAGGGAGUCGAUCGGAUGUCUCA
rnacentral:ncRNA from 2 species